rnacentral:snoRNA from 1 species
CUCUAGUACGUGAUGAAUAACAAGUUUAGGUAUAGUUCAACAGAAACUACCAUGUUGAAUAACUGGCAACGUCUUUCGCCCCUAUCUGAUUCUUCAA